rnacentral:rRNA from 1 species
CCUACGGGAGGCAGCAGUGGGGAAUAUUGGACAAUGGGCGCAAGCCUGAUCCAGCCAUGCCGCGUGAGUGAUGAAGGCCUUAGGGUUGUAAAGCUCUUUUAUCCGGGACGAUAAUGACGGUACCGGAGGAAUAAGCCCCGGCUAACUUCGUGCCAGCAGCCGCGGUAAUACGAAGGGGGCUAGCGUUGCUCGGAAUCACUGGGCGUAAAGGGCGCGUAGGCGGCGUUUUAAGUCGGGGGUGAAAGCCUGUGGCUCAACCACAGAAUGGCCUUCGAUACUGGGACGCUUGAGUAUGGUAGAGGUUGGUGGAACUGCGAGUGUAGAGGUGAAAUUCGUAGAUAUUCGCAAGAACACCGGUGGCGAAGGCGGCCAACUGGACCAUUACUGACGCUGAGGCGCGAAAGCGUGGGGAGCAAACAGGAUUAGAUACCCUGGUAGUCCGCGCCGUAAACGAUGAAUGCCAGCUGUUGGGGUGGUCGUUGUCACCUCCAGUAGCGCAGCUAACGUCUUUGUAGCAUUCCGUCCGUCGGGGAGGUACGGUCGGCGAAGAAGUUAAACUACAAAGGUAAGUUAGUACGGUUCGUUGUAGACGUUGCCGACGGCGACCGACGAGGGGAGGUUAGG